rnacentral:lncRNA from 1 species
UAAGGUGGAAUAAGCCCUUAUUUUAUCUGAAAUUAUGUAACCAAACACUGCCAUGCUGAAUAUAAAUUUUUUAGUUGCAUGAUCUUUCAUAAAAACAUGCCAACAAGUACAUGAAACAUGUUAUAUCUAUCGAUAUAGAUUCAAAAUAUCCAUUGACCAAAAUAAAGCUCCAAAACAUCCAAGGAUCAACCAUCCACUCUUACUCUUCUUGUCCUUCUAAUUAUGGCC